rnacentral:rRNA from 1 species
UGACGAGUGGCGGACGGGUGAGUAAUGUCUGGGAAACUGCCUGAUGGAGGGGGAUAACUACUGGAAACGGUAGCUAAUACCGCAUAACGUCGCAAGACCAAAGAGGGGGACCUUCGGGCCUCUUGCCAUCAGAUGUGCCCAGAUGGGAUUAGCUAGUAGGUGGGGUAACGGCUCACCUAGGCGACGAUCCCUAGCUGGUCUGAGAGGAUGACCAGCCACACUGGAACUGAGACACGGUCCAGACUCCUACGGGAGGCAGCAGUGGGGAAUAUUGCACAAUGGGCGCAAGCCUGAUGCAGCCAUGCCGCGUGUAUGAAGAAGGCCUUCGGGUUGUAAAGUACUUUCAGCGGGGAGGAAGGCGAUGCGGUUAAUAACCGCGUCGAUUGACGUUACCCGCAGAAGAAGCACCGGCUAACUCCGUGCCAGCAGCCGCGGUAAUACGGAGGGUGCAAGCGUUAAUCGGAAUUACUGGGCGUAAAGCGCACGCAGGCGGUCUGUCAAGUCGGAUGUGAAAUCCCCGGGCUCAACCUGGGAACUGCAUCCGAAACUGGCAGGCUUGAGUCUCGUAGAGGGGGGUAGAAUUCCAGGUGUAGCGGUGAAAUGCGUAGAGAUCUGGAGGAAUACCGGUGGCGAAGGCGGCCCCCUGGACGAAGACUGACGCUCAGGUGC